rnacentral:lncRNA from 1 species
UGAUUUUGAGGAAGCGUUCUUGAAGUUUUUGAAGAAAAAGAUUCAGAAUGUUUUGGGAUAUUGGUAAUGUGUUUCCAAAAGCUUUUGGACUACGACACAACUUUGUGAGGAAUUGAAGGCAAGACUUUGAGAGAGAUGAUUUUUUUUGUGGAGACUUCCAUCUAUACAAUUAGAUCAUUGAAAUUUGAUUUAACAUGUAUCGUUAUUUUUUUUUAUUGAAACCACCAGCAAAACGUGGAGUGGGGGAAUAUUAGCACGCAUUCCCAGGAG